CGGAAGCGGGGAGCAAGUUCUCUGCCUCGCUCGGUGUUGCCUUAGGGCGUCUUUCUUGUGGCCGCUAAAAGGGCCGUUGGACGCAGAGAUGACGAGUGGCGACCUUAAGACGCCGCGGGCCGUCCUGUGGUCGCGUCGGUUCUCUCUGCUGUACGCGAUGGGAGUGUGGACGAUUAUUGGGUAUUUCGUGUCCCGGUCAGUGCGUUUCAGGGAGAUACCACGGGAGGAAAAGGAGAAAGGCGGGCAGUCGCCGCCGCCGCCGCCGCCGCCGCCGCCCGAUCACAACGAAUAUUCCAGAAGUGUUUGACAGGAGCAGAAAAUCAAGACUGAAACUGGAUUCAAAUUAACAGCAAAAAACUACUACAUCUAAUUUUGUGCCAUAUUCUUCUCAUUUGCAUAAUAGAAUGCUGACACUUUAUUAUAAUAUUGGGAAAGAAAAGUAAAUUACAUUGAAAAAAAGCAAAGUAUCAGUGUCUAACUUUUAUUAAAGAGUUGCAUGAGAUCUGAUUUUGAAAUAACAGUAAUUGGAAAGUAUUAUGAAACUGUAACCCUGCUUCAUCUUCAUGCAUUUGAAUAUAUGGAAUAUAAUUUUAUAUUUUUUCUUUUGUUUAUAAUUUAUUUUAAUACCUUUUCCUGAAAUUCUGCUAGCAUGUGUUUGAAAUCCUAAAGAAGAGUAAAUGUGAUUGAUUCCUUAUUUCCUCUUUCAGAAACCAUACAUAUUUUUCCCAUAGAGCUUGGUGUUUAUGAUAGCUAUCUUUGUUUUCAAGGAUAGAGAAUUUCUGUAGCACUUAGCUCUGAUGUUGGAGUUGGAAAAAGGUGUUAGAUAGUUUCUGAAUAUGGUAGAAGUAACUUUUGACCUUGCAGGUUUCAAAUCCUCCCGGUUGACAGAUACAGUUCAGGCUAGCUAUACUAUGCAUUGCUGGUUUCAUGACAAGGAAUGCAUUCAACUUUUUUGAACCAGUGUUUAUAAAGGCAUAUGCGGUAUUUUGGACUUUUUUAAAAAACUAAAGUGGCAUAUUCCUUACCAUACAAGGAGUUUCAAGAAGGCUUGUUCUCUUCAACCCUACCUAUAUCAUUUUUCAACAUACUUGAAAUGGAACAGUUUAUAAAUGGUUUUUCUCUGUGUCUGAAUAAGACAAGGUAUAGUUCAACAAUGUUAUCUAUGAAGUGUAAAUAAGAUACUCUUUAAUAUUUUUCCCAAAGUCUCAUUAACUGGUUUAAGCUCUGAAGUUUGCCUAAUCAUGAUAGAUUUAUGAACUGUAUUGCUCCUUUGUGCCUUUGAGCAUUUGCUUGAUUAUUUGAUGGAAGCUGGCAUUUUUAGAAUUUACAUCAACCUCAAAAUAAAGGUAUUCAAUGUA